UUUUCAAGCUCCAUGGAGGUUAACCGCCAUGGCGCGUUGUAGACUAAAGGGGCGCCAUCUUGGACGGACCGAGUAUAAAUCCGUUGGAACACGGUAUCAUUGAGGGUGAGAAUCCCGUCUAUGACUCGGCAUCCGACCAUGUACGUUGCGCUUCCAAAGAGUCGGGUUGUUUGGGAAUGCAGCCCAAAAUGGGUGGUAAAUUUCAUCUAAGGCUAAAUAUUGGCACGAGACCGAUAGCGAACAAGUACCAUGAGGGAAAGAUGAAAAGCACUUUGAAAAGAGAGUCAAAAAGUACGUGAAACCGUUAAAAGGGAAACGAAUGGAGCUAGCAUUUGUGGUGUUCACAAUCAGUCAGACGACGGCCACCAGGGAGCUUGAGCAGGGAGCCUGUGGGUUUACUCACUGGGACAUGCUUAGGUUCUCGUGUGAGGUAGACGGCUGGUGCACUUGUGGGCGACACAGGCCAACAUCAGUUCGGCAAGGAACAUAUACGGCAUGAGAAGGUAGUUGCGGCGCUUCGGCGUCGUAAUGUUAUAACUUGUGCACGAGUGUUCCGGGCUGGACUGAGGAGUAGCAGCGCGCAUAUCUUCGGAGAGCCACCGCUGGGGCUGCGGGUCUGGAGAAACUGCUGUGUUUCACUUUAUUGUGUCCACAGUCAGUGCUCUGGGCCAUCAAUUUGGUGACUGCGCUCAUCUUUCGGGGUGGACGUUGGGAGCCAGAGAUAUGCAACUCUAUACGGGGUUUACCCAGACCACGCGCUUGUGAUGUUGGCGAUAAAUGGCUCUAUCCGACCCGUCUUGAAACACGGACCAAGGAGUCUAACAUAUACGCGAGUCUUUGGGUUGAAAGCCCGCAGGCACAAUGAAAGUGAAGGCACACUCGGUGUGCUAAGGUGAGACGAUGCCGUGUGCCUGUUUCGGCAGGUAGACGAGUAUCAGCAUCAUCGACCGAUCCGGAUGGUUCUAUCCUGAAAGAUUUGAGUAAGAGCGUAUCUGUUGGGACCCGAAAGAUGGUGAACUAUGCCUGAACAGGGUGAAGUCUGAGGAAACUCAGAUGGAAGCUCGUAGCGAUUCUGACGUGCAAAUCGAUCGUCUGAUUUGGGUAUAGGGGCGAAAGACUAAUCGAACCAUCUAGUAGCUGGUUCCCUCCGAAGUUUCCCUCAGGAUAGCUGGAACUAACUAAAGCAGUUUUAUCAGGUAAAGCGAAUGAUUAGAGGCCUUGGGGUUGAAAUAACCUCAACCUAUUCUCAAACUUUAAAUAGGUAAGAAGCCUGGCUUGCUUAAUUGAAGCCAGGCAAACUGAAUGCAAGUUCCAAGUGGGCCAUUUUUGGUAAGCAGAACUGGCGAUGCGGGAUGAACCGAACGCAAAGUUAAAGUGCCAAAGUUCACGCUCACCUAGAACCCAGAAAAGGUGUUGGCUGAUGAAGACAGCAGGACGGUGGCCAUGGAAGUUGGAACCCGCUAAGGAGUGUGUAACAACUCACCUGCCGAAUCAGCCAGCCCUGAAAAUGGAUGGCGCUCAAGCGUGACACUCAUACUUUGCCGUUGCCUUUUUAUUUUCAAUAUAAAUCGCAACGAGUAGGAGGGCGUGGAGGUCGUGAAGCAGCUUUGGGCGUGAGCCUGAGUGAAACGGCC
rnacentral:rRNA from 1 species